rnacentral:rRNA from 1 species
UACGUAGGGUGCAAGCGUUAAUCGGAAUUACUGGGCGUAAAGCGUGCGCAGGCGGUUGUGCAAGACCGAUGUGAAAUCCCCGGGCUUAACCUGGGAAUGGCAUUUGGGACUGCAAGGCUUGAGUUUGGCAGAGGAGACUGGAAUUCCUGGUGUAGCAGUGAAAUGCGUAGAUAUCAGGAGGAAUACCGAUGGCGAAGGCAGGUCUCUGGGCUAGAACUGACGCUCAUGCACGAAAGCGUGGGGAGCAAACAGG